UGAUGAGUUGCGCGUGUUUAGAACGCGUAUUUUAAACGUAUGUUUUAAUUUAAAACAGAUUGACAGACUGUGCAAGCCAAUCCUUAUCGCCCA
rnacentral:tRNA from 1 species